CUCAGAUUGAACGCUGGCGGCAGGCCUAACACAUGCAAGUCGAGCGGUAGAGAGAAGCUUGCUUCUCUUGAGAGCGGCGGACGGGUGAGUAAUGCCUAGGAAUCUGCCUGGUAGUGGGGGAUAACGUUCGGAAACGGACGCUAAUACCGCAUACGUCCUACGGGAGAAAGCAGGGGACCUUCGGGCCUUGCGCUAUCAGAUGAGCCUAGGUCGGAUUAGCUAGUUGGUGAGGUAAUGGCUCACCAAGGCGACGAUCCGUAACUGGUCUGAGAGGAUGAUCAGUCACACUGGAACUGAGACACGGUCCAGACUCCUACGGGAGGCAGCAGUGGGGAAUAUUGGACAAUGGGCGAAAGCCUGAUCCAGCCAUGCCGCGUGUGUGAAGAAGGUCUUCGGAUUGUAAAGCACUUUAAGUUGGGAGGAAGGGUUGUAGAUUAAUACUCUGCAAUUUUGACGUUACCGACAGAAUAAGCACCGGCUAACUCUGUGCCAGCAGCCGCGGUAAUACAGAGGGUGCAAGCGUUAAUCGGAAUUACUGGGCGUAAAGCGCGCGUAGGUGGUUUGUUAAGUUGGAUGUGAAAUCCCCGGGCUCAACCUGGGAACUGCAUUCAAAACUGACUGACUAGAGUAUGGUAGAGGGUGGUGGAAUUUCCUGUGUAGCGGUGAAAUGCGUAGAUAUAGGAAGGAACACCA
rnacentral:rRNA from 1 species